rnacentral:rRNA from 1 species
GGUGGCUGCGACUGUUUAAUAAAAACACAGCACUCUGCAAACACGAAAGUGGACGUAUAGGGUGUGACUCCUGCCCGGUGCUGGAAGGUUAAUUGAUGGGGUCAGCCGCAAGGCGAAGCUCUUGAUCGAAGCCCCAGUAAACGGCGGCCGUAACAAUAACGGUCCUAAGGUAGCGAAAUUCCUUGUCGGGUAAGUUCCGACCCGCACGAAAGGCGUAAUGAUUUG